AAGCUAUGCAAAGGCCAGCUUUGCAUGCAUUUCAGGCAGAGGCAGGCAUAUUUACAUCUAGUGACACUGCAUGUGCCCCAGAAACGGAACCAUUUACUUGCAACAGCAGCUGUGUUCCUCAUGCGAGCCACAACACUCCUUUGUGCAAGGUUUCAUUCCUGACUGCUGCAAUCACAAAGAUCCUGCAAUACAAUUUGUUUGACCACACUUUAUUGCAUUUCCCUAAUCACAGAAUCACAGAAUGGCUGAUAUUGGCAAGGAUCUUCGGAGAUCACCUAGGCCAACUCAAGCAGGGGGAAUAGAUAAAAAGAUAAAAAGAAACUCCCUCCAGGUUUUGUAUAAUCCAAGUUUGCAGGAGAAAAAAAGGUAUUGGAUGAGAAGACAAGAUUCUCUUUAAGUUUCUCCUCUGUUCCACCUUCUAGCUCGAUCGCACCAACUUCAGCAUGUUACGGCAACAGAAGAUCCUGACUGACUUUCCAGUACUUUUGCCCCACCAAAGGAUGAUUUUAAUCUAUAUAUUUGAAUAGUGUCCCAGAACAAAGAAACAAUCAGCUAGAUUUCACAUUAUAGUGUGAAACUCAUCAUUCUGCAGAUAAGGGAAAAUUUAUUUUUGAAGACCAUUGUGGUCUUACAAUUAGCUGCACUACAUGCACUACACUUAUCUACACACACAGAUGUUUUCUGACAUCUUAGAUUUUGCAUCUGGCUUGUGGAAGGUCACUCAGUGAUGUUAGUAGCAUCUGUGUUUUGUAGAUACCCAGACUACCCCUGACAGCACUAUACACCUUCUUAAAAUGUGUGCAUCAGAAACUGCCCUCCAGAUGCGGAUUGCCAAAAGCAUUCAUCUAAGGCCCUGUCCUACCCUCAUAGUUUGUGGCAAAAAGAAAAUCUAAUGGUCUUCUAAGCAAUCUUCAGCUACAUGGUGACCCUGCUCAAAAAAAACCGAGGAAGAGACCGCAUGAGGUUAAUAGUUAAACUCCAGGCCUGCUCCCACACACUCCUAAAAGAAUGGAGUGAUAAGCCUAUGCUGCAAUCUAAUAGUUUGAGAGAAGCCUAGAAAGUAAUGACAAAAAUAGGCAUGUGGUAAGCAAAGAAAAUUCUGCAUUAAUUUUUGUAGAUCUGGAUAAAUAAGGCUUAAAAUUUUUGUCCAUGCCCAGUCUUUCCAGUUUGCGUUCCUAUUUUUUCCACUGAUUUCAUGUCCACAUUGAGCAACUUGGUUAGCCCAAGAAACUCAGAGUAUAUAUACUCAGAGUAUAUCCAUCUACAUGGAUUUUAAUGGAAAUGAGGCACAUGCAUGACUUGAGAAUCCAGGCUUUCAUCUCCUUAUAUUCUGACAAGGAAUUAUAGCACAGAAGUACCUGAACCACGUGUCAGCCCGUGUCAGCCGGAGGUGGUAUAUCCCCAGAGAAAUGGAUAGAGCCAGGAAGAGGUACCAGUUUGCGGCUGAGAGUGGUACAACUGUGGUGCUGUUAAUAAAAGUUGUCUGCAGUUAAUAAAAAUUGUCUCAAAAACUGUGCUGUGCUGAUCCAGCUGGACCACUUUCAGGGCAGAAAGUUAUUUCAGGAUCUCUGUACUUGUCUUACAAGAGUGCUCAAAAGCAGCACAAUUUAAAUCUAGGCAGUUUAUUAGGAGGAACAGAUUCCAUGACAAGAUCCUGGAGGAUUUGCCUUACUAAAAAUAAUGUUAACUGCUACAUUUCUAGUGUAGUUUUCCUCUCCUCAUAGAUGGGAAGCAGGGAUAAUACUAAAAAACAUCUUGAAGUUCAGGUGUAUUUUGAUGUUCAUGCCAGUAUCUGCUUGUAAAACUGUGUUAUAGCUGGGAACACUUUGACAAUGCUAUAAAAGCUGAUUUUCUGGCACUGCAUGAGCUUGUUCCUGGAAGAACAGUCUUCCAUGGUACAGCACUUAAUAUGCCUCAGAAUAAAGAUUUUCAAAACACUAGUUCCAUGGGCACAGUUUAAUCAUUCAUGCAUUCAGCUACUUUAAACUACCAAUUUAUUUCCAGAACAGAACAUAUAUAUAGAACAACAAUAUAUAUUUCUUUGUUAAAAGAGAUGAAUGAGUAAAAGAACUGGCAAGUGUUUGUUUU